rnacentral:rRNA from 1 species
UCAAAAACAUGUCCUUUUGUUAAUAAUUUAAGGUCUGACCUGCCCAAUGAGUAUUUAAAUGGCCGCAGUAUUUUGACUGUGCAAAGGUAGCAUAAUCAUUAGUUUUUUAAUUGUAAGCUGGAAUGAAUGGUUUGAUGAGAAAAUAACUGUCUCAAUUUAAUUGUUUUAGAAUUUUAAUUUUAAGUGAAAAAGCUUAAAUUUUUAAGGAAGACGAGAAGACCCUAUAGAGUUUAAUAUUUCUAUAUUAUGAUUGGUUUUAGAUUUGUUUAAGGUUUUAAUGUGGAAUUAUUUUAUUGGGGUGAUAUUAAAAUUUAAUAAACUUUUAAUUUAUUGUAACAUUUUUUUGUGAUUAUUUGAUCCUAAUUUUUAGAUUAUAAGAUUAAAUUACCUUAGGGAUAACAGCGUAAUUUUUUUUAAGAGUUCUUAUCGAAAAAAAAGUUUGCGACCUCGAUGU